rnacentral:rRNA from 1 species
ACAUGCCUACAACACAGGGUUAAUGCAUCAGAUCCCAUUAGAACUCCGUAGUUAAGUGUGCCUGGGCUAGAGUAGUACUGGGAUGACCACCUCGAAAGCCCUAGUAUUUUACAUGCC